CAGUAGCCGCGGGAAUACGGAGGGUGCAAGCGUUAAUCGGAAUUACUGGGCGUAAAGCGCACGCAGGCGGUUUGUUAAGUCAGAUGUGAAAUCCCCGAGCUUAACUUGGGAACUGCAUUUGAAACUGGCAAGCUAGAGUCUUGUAGAGGGGGGUAGAAUUCCAGGUGUAGCGGUGAAAUGCGUAGAGAUCUGGAGGAAUACCGGUGGCGAAGGCGGCCCCCUGGACAAAGACUGACGCUCAGGUGCGAAAGCGUGGGGAGCAAACAGGAUUAGAUACCCCGGUAGUCCCUGUCUCUUAUAC
rnacentral:rRNA from 1 species